GGCCCCUCAGUAGCCAAGGGCAGCCUCGCCAGGUCGGUCCCGGGCUCGAGGCCCGCAGCUGGGGUCGGGGGGCUCAGUCUCCCACGUGACCGACUGGGCGCGCCCCGCCAGACCUGGCCUCGGGAUUCCCUCCUCCUGGCGAGUCUCCGCCCGCCCCGUCCUGGAGCCCCCUCCAUCCAAAGCCAACGAGAAAACGCGGUGCAGUGUUGGCAGCUGAGCUGAGCCGAGGAGACGCAGGGAGACGCGACAGAGGAAAGUGUGAGUUGCCGGGGGCCUCCCCCCGUCAGAAGCCUCCCAGUCGCGCCCAUAAAACGCCCGCCCUCGGGGCAGCUAGGGCAGGUGAGCGCGUCCCUCGGCCUCCCCACGCCGGCCCCUGCCACAGGCCGCCUGGGUCGCGCAGAUAUUUACAGAAUAAAAAUGACAAUAACUCGACGCCCGGGACGGCCACGCAAUCUGUUAGCAAUUUAGCGGGAUGGGAAUUUCCUUUCUAGGGCCUGCCAGUGAAGCGCUUUUCCAAAUUUCCACAGCGGGGGAAGCCUGCGAUUUUACAUAAUGACUUCAGCAUGCCGGGCUUUCUCGGCACCCCUCCCCGCCCCCCGCCCCUUUUCCAGCAGGGCCGGGCUCUCUCCGGACACCGCGUGGACUCAGGCGUCCCGUCUGGCCCGUUGGCCCCGUUUCCCCCGCCAGCCCCAGCGCCCCCCUGCCCUGCCCCCGGAGUCCCUGUUCCCGCCCCUGCGCCCCCGUCCCCUUCCCGUGCGCCCCCCUCCCCGCGCGCGCCCCUCCCCGCGCGCGCCCCUCCCCGUGCGCCCCUGCCCCCGGGCAAGCGGCUGCCGCGGCGCGGGGAGGGGCGGGCGCUCUGCGACUCGUCCCCGGGGCCCCGCGCGGGCCCGGGCAGCAGGGGCGUGAUGUCACGGCAGGGAGGGGGCGCGGGAGCCGCCGGGCCGGCGGGGAGGCGGGGGAGGUGUUUUCCAGCUUUAAAAAGGCAGGAGGCAGAGCGCGGCCCUGCGUCAGAGCGAGACUCAGAGGCUCCGAACUCGCCGGCAGAGUCGCCGCGCCAGAUCCCUGCGGCCGGGCACGGGCACCGGGGCGCGGGCAGGGUCCGGAGCCACCGCGCAGGUCCCAGGGCCGAGGCCGGGCCCCGCCACGCGCGCACACGCCCCUCGAUGACUUUCCUCCGGGGCGCGCGGCGCUGAGCCCGGGGCGAGGGCUGCCUUCCCGGAGACCCGACCCGGGCGGCACGGGGCGCCCGCUCCUCCCGUGCCUCCGCCCGCUGCUCCGCUCCCCGCCGCCGCCGCGCGGAUGCCAAGCACCAGCUUUCCAGUCCCUUCCAAGUUUCCACUUGGCCCUGCGGCUGCGGUCUUCGGGAGCGGAGAAACUUUGGGGCCCGCGCCGCGCGCCGGCGGCACCAUGAAGUCGGCAGAGGAAGGUAAGCCCAGCGCGGCCGCCGUCCCCGGACCCCCGCGCCCCCCACGGCCCGGGACGUGCCCCCGCCCCUGCCCCCGUCGCCCGCACGGAGGGGUCCCGGCCCGAGGGCGAGGUCGGCUGGGUCUGUGCGCCCAGGGAGGGGAGCGGCGCGGACCGCGAACGGCGUCCCCCCAGCUCCCGGCAGCCCGGUUCCGAGCGCGCCUUCUGCCAAUAGGUGUCUCCUCUGUCCCAGCGCUGAGGGCGCGAGCAGAGGCCGCUGCGGGUCCCGCCGAGGAAGCGGCUUGCAGGCCCGCGAUUUGGGGACGGGCGAGGCUGGGCCGUCAGGACCGCAGAGGGCACGUGGGAGGGAGGAAGGGAGGCUUCCUCGGGCGUGAAGGAUGCCCCGUGUCUUCCCGAGCGAGGCAGGGCCACCCUGUGGCGCCAAGAGCGCGGUUUGGGGGUUCUGCGCCCCCCAACCCCCCGCGAGCUGGUGGCGGCGUCUCCCCGCGCAGCGCCCCGGAACGCCCCAGGGCCGAGCCCGUCACGCCGGCGCCUGGACCUGCAGGACCAGAAGACCCAAAGCGCGGCCGCGGCACAGCCCGAAUUUAAGCCCUUUUGAAAUCCUAUAGGCAGGAGUUCCAGCCAGAGAAGAUAUUUCAGGCGAGUUUGAAAAGGAACCGCCAAGUUUCGAGCUGCUUCUUUAUAGGGAAAAAAAGACGGCACAGUGUGGGUCCCUGAAACCUGGUGUCGGGGGCGCUAGAGCCUCACAUUCCAUCCCCCCAACUUAGCCGGUCCCCGCCCCACACCCCUGGCGGUGCCGGGUGGGCUCCUGCAGGUGGCUUUGAAAAUACACUUGGAGAGGUGUGAGCGCCCGAGUUAGGGAUUAGGGAUUGCAAAUGCUAAUGGAAGUUGGGAGACGCUUUUCCACAUUCCUUACCAGCUCUGAAACACUGUAUGUAAUGUAUUUAAAGAGCGCAGCACACCUGCCGACGUAUGUGUUUCAUGAGGGCAGACGUCCUUCCGAGCGCUGCCGCUCCCUGCGCGACACUAAUAACUGCGGGGCUUGCUUGAGAACCCGGCUCCAGCAGCUCUGGAGAACUCGCUGGUCUUAGAGUUGAGCACGGGCCGUGAGCUCCACGGAGGGGGAUCCGUGUGGUCGGUGCCCUGACGCUUCACGGGACGGGAGGUAGACACCAUUUCACCCCAAUGUUAGAAAAUGUUUACGUGUUUAAACGUCAUGUUCCGUGUCAGUGUUUUACACAAUGUGCUCUUGCUAGCAGUCGAGUUUUUAAAAA